GAUGAACGCUAGCUACAGGCUUAACACAUGCAAGUCGAGGGGUAGCAGGGUAGCAAUACCGCUGACGACCGGCGCACGGGUGAGUAACACGUAUCCAACCUUCCCAUAACUCGGGGAUAGCCUUUCGAAAGAAAGAUUAAUACCCGAUAGUACUUAACAAAGGCAUCUUUGAUAAGUUAAAGAUUUAUUGGUUAUGGAUGGGGAUGCGUUCCAUUAGAUAGUUGGUGAGGUAACGGCCCACCAAGUCUUCGAUGGAUAGGGGUUCUGAGAGGAAGGUCCCCCACAUUGAUACUGAGACACGGACCAAACUCCUACGGGAGGCAGCAGUGAGGAAUAUUGGUCAAUGGGCGAGAGCCUGAACCAGCCAAGUAGCGUGAAGGAUGAAGGUCCUAUGGAUUGUAAACUUCUUUUAUAGUAGAAUAAAGUGAUCCACGUGUGGAUUUUUGUAUGUAUACUAUGAAUAAGGAUCGGCUAACUCCGUGCCAGCCGCCGCGGUAA
rnacentral:rRNA from 1 species